AAGAUGAUACUCGCUUUUGGAGUUGGCACUACAAGAUGCAUGAGAAAUACAGUUGAUCCUAGAACAACACAGGUUUGAACUGCAUGGGGUCCACAUAUAUGUGGAUUUUCCUCCACCUUUGCCACCCCUGAGAGAAGACCAACCCCUCCUCUUGCUCCUCCUCCUCAGCCUACUUGAUGUGAAGACAAUGAGGAUGAAGACCUUUAUGGUGAUCCACUUCCACUUAAUAGAUGGCUGCUCUUUUUCUAAAGAGGUUAACACUACAAACUGUAAAGUCUGAAAAUAGUUGCAUUAGAUGUUUUGGUAAACACAUCCUGCAAAAGACAGCACCAGCACAGUUGUCCCCUAUUGCUUCUGCCCCAAGACUCUCCUUCCUAAUUCAUGCAAAAGCCUUUAGUACCGC
rnacentral:sRNA from 1 species